rnacentral:rRNA from 1 species
GACGAACCGAGCGAACGUUAUUCGGAAUAACUGGGCUUAAAGGGUGCGUAGGCGGGCUGUCAAGUCUGGGGUGAAAUCCGGCAGCUUAACUGUCGAACUGCCUUAGAUACUGAUGGCCUCGAGGAAGGUAGGGGCAUGCGGAACUGUAGGUGGAGCGGUGAAAUGCGUAGAUAUCAGGAGGAACACCUGAGGCGAAGGCGGGCUACUGGGCUGAUACUGACGCUGAUGCGCGAAAGCCAGGGGAGCAAACGGG